rnacentral:rRNA from 1 species
UACGGGGGGGGCAAGCGUUGUUCGGAAUUACUGGGCGUAAAGGGCGCGUAGGCGGCCUUCUAAGUCGGACGUGAAAUCCCUCGGCUUAACCGAGGAACUGCGUCCGAUACUGAAAGGCUUGAAUCCGGGAGAGGGAUGUGGAAUUCCAGGUGUAGCGGUGGAAUGCGCAGAUAUCAGGAGGAACACCGAUGGCGAAGGCAGAUCUCUGGGCCGUAACUGACGCUGAGGAGCGAAAGCGUGGGGAGCGAACAGG